rnacentral:rRNA from 1 species
CCUACGGGAGGCAGCAGUGGGGAAUAUUGGACAAUGGGCGAAAGCCUGAUCCAGCAAUGCCGCGUGAGUGAUGAAGGCCUUAGGGUCGUAAAGCUCUUUUACCAGGGAUGAUAAUGACAGUACCUGGAGAAUAAGCUCCGGCUAACUCCGUGCCAGCAGCCGCGGUAAUACGGAGGGAGCUAGCGUUGUUCGGAAUUACUGGGCGUAAAGCGUGCGUAGGCGGUUAUUCAAGUCAGAGGUGAAAGCCCGGGGCUCAACCCCGGAACGGCCUUUGAAACUAGAUAACUAGAAUCUUGGAGAGGUCAGUGGAAUUCCGAGUGUAGAGGUGAAAUUCGUAGAUAUUCGGAAGAACACCAGUGGCGAAGGCGACUGACUGGACAAGUAUUGACGCUGAGGUACGAAAGCGUGGGGAGCAAACAGGAUUAGAUACCCUGGUAGUCCACGCCGUAAACGAUGAUAACUAGCUGUCCGGACACUUGGUGUUUGGGUGGCGCAGCUACGACAUUAAGUUAUACCGUCCGUCGGGUAGGUACGGUCGCGAAGAAUUAAACUAACAAUAGAAUUAGACGGCGUGAGACGUGCCGACGGACGACGACGACGGGAGUAGG